AGGGUAUAACAAAGAUGAGAGUGGAAAUUGAUGAAAUAGAGACUGAAAAAAAAAAGAUAUUUAAAAACCCAAAAGUCAAUUCUUUAAAACAUCUACAAAAUUGACAAAACUUUAUUUAGGUUGAUCAAAUAAAGCAGACUCACAUUACUAAAAUCAGGAAAGAAAGAAGGUACAUAAUUAUUGACCUUAGAGAAAUAAUGGUGGCAGUGCAUGUACUAAAGCUGGAAUGAUACAGAGAAGGUUAGCAUGGCCCAUGCACAAGGAUGACAUGCAAAUUCUUGACCGUUCCAUAUAGUUACAUAGCGGUAAAGGGUUCAAUUCCAUAAGAAGACCUCACUAUCCUAAAUAUAUAUGGACCUAACAAAGGAGCACCCAGAUUCAUAAAGCAAGUUCUUAAAGAUCUUCAAAGAGACUUAGACUCCCACACAAUAAUAGUGGGAGACUUCAACACCCUGCUGACGGUAUUAGAUAGAUGAUCGAGUCAGAAAAUUAACAAAAAUGUUGAAGACCUGACUUCAACACUGGACUAAAUGGACCUGAUAGACAUCUACAGAACUCACCACCCCAAAACAGCAGAAUAUACAUUCUCCUCAUUGCCACAUGGCACAUACUCUAAAACUGACUACACAAUUGGACAUAAAACAAUCCUCAGCAAAUGCAAAACAACAAAAAUCACACCAACCACUUUCUAGGACCACAGCACAAUAAAGAUAGAAUUUAAGACUAAGAAAAUUGCUCAAAAGCAUACAAUUACAUGGAAGUUAGACAACUACUCCUGAAUGACAUUUGGGUAAAUAAUGAAAUUAAGGUGGAAAUCAAGAAGUUCUUUGAAACUAAUAACAACAAAAAUACAACAUACCAGAAUCUCUGGGACACAGCUAAGGCAGUGUCAAGAGGGAAAUUUAUAGCACUAACUGUCCACAUCAAACAGUAAGAAAGAUCUCAAAUUAACACCCUAACAUCACAACUGAAAAAACUAGAGAAGCAAGGCAAACCAAUCCCAAAAUUAGCAGAACAAGAUAUAACCAAAAUCAGAGCUGAACUGAAGGAGAUUGAGGUGUGAAAAUCUAUUCAAAAGAUCAAUGAAUCCAGGAGCUGAGUUUUUAAAAUAAUUAAUAAGAUAGACCACUAUCUAGACUAAUGAAGAAUAAAAGAGAUAUCCAAAUAAACACAAUCAGAAAUACAAAGGGGGAAUUUUCACUGACCCCACAGAAAUAAAAAUAACAAUUGGAAACUAUGAUGAACACCUUUAUGCACAAAAACUAGAAAACCUAGAAGAAAUGUAUAAAUUCCUGGACACAUACGCCCUCCCGAGACUGAAGCAGGAACAAAUUGAAUACCUUAACAGAUGAAUAACAUGC
rnacentral:lncRNA from 10 species